GUUUAUUUAGUAUAAAUAAAAGUACCUUUGAUUUCCAAUCAAAAAGUCUAUUCAUUAGAAUAAAUA
rnacentral:tRNA from 1 species